rnacentral:rRNA from 1 species
AGAGGAAGUAAAAGUCGUAACAAGGUUUCNAYAGGUGAACCUGCGGAAGGAUCAUUACUGAAGCUUCUGGGAGUGUGGAUCUGCCCCGAGAGGGGAUGUGAUCGCCUCUCAAUCUUCUCAUUAACCACCUGUGCACUUUUGUUUGGACCGUGGAGACUCUCACUGAAAAUGUGGAACGGGUCCUUGCGUGUAAAAGCGCUUGGAACCGAUUUUGCGGUCCAUUCCUUUACAAACUACUUUAAACUUUAGAAUGUCUGUUAUGGGGUUGUACCCCAUAUAAAAUAAAUACAACUUUCAGCAACGGAUCUCUUGGCUCUCGCAUCGAUGAAGAACGCAGCGAAAUGCGAUAAGUAAUGUGAAUUGCAGAAUUCAGUGAAUCAUCGAAUCUUUGAACGCACCUUGCACCCUUUGGUAUUCCGAAGGGUAUGCCUGUUUGAGUGUCAUUAAAUUCUCAAGUCCUGAAAUUUUUUUCUUGGCUUGGAUCUGGGGGCUGCUGAGACUUUUCAAGGCUUGGCUCCUCUUAAAAGCAUUAGUGGCUUGUCGAUCCCCAUCUUGGUGUGAUAGUCAUAUCUACAUUUUGAUGGUUAGGUCAUGCAAUGNCAACCUGGCUGCUCUCUAACCGUCUCAUGGCGGGACAACUUGAACAAUUUGACCUCAAAUCAGGUAGGACUACCCGCUGAACUUAAGCAUAUCAAU